CCUACGGGAGGCAGCAGUGGGGAAUAUUGGGCAAUGGAGGAAACUCUGACCCAGCAAUGCCGCGUGAAUGAAGAAGGUCUUCGGAUUGUAAAGCUCUAUCAGCAGGGAAGAAAUAAAGUCCUUCGGACUUUGGACGGUACCUGACUAAGAAGCCCCGGCUAACUACGUGCCAGCAGCCGCGGUAAUACGUAGGGGGCAAGCGUUAUCCGGAUUUACUGGGUGUAAAGGGAGCGUAGACGGCAGCGCAAGUCUGGAGUGAAAUCCCAUGGCUUAACCAUGGAACUGCUUUGGAAACUGUGCAGCUGGAGUGCAGGAGAGGUAAGCGGAAUUCCUAGUGUAGCGGUGAAGUGCGUAGAUAUUAGGAGGAACACCAGUGGCGAAGGCGGCUUACUGGACUGUAACUGACGUUGAGGCUCGAAAGCGUGGGGAGCAAACAGGAUUAGAUACCCCAGUAGUC
rnacentral:rRNA from 1 species